rnacentral:rRNA from 1 species
UUGAACGCUGGCGGCAGGCCUAACACAUGCAAGUCGAGCGGUAGAGAGGAGCUUGCUUCUCUUGAGAGCGGCGGACGGGUGAGUAAUGCCUAGGAAUCUGCCUGGUAGUGGGGGAUAACGUUCGGAAACGGACGCUAAUACCGCAUACGUCCUACGGGAGAAAGCAGGGGACCUUCGGGCCUUGCGCUAUCAGAUGAGCCUAGGUCGGAUUAGCUAGUUGGUGAGGUAAUGGCUCACCAAGGCGACGAUCCGUAACUGGUCUGAGAGGAUGAUCAGUCACACUGGAACUGAGACACGGUCCAGACUCCUACGGGAGGCAGCAGUGGGGAAUAUUGGACAAUGGGCGAAAGCCUGAUCCAGCCAUGCCGCGUGUGUGAAGAAGGUCUUCGGAUUGUAAAGCACUUUAAGUUGGGAGGAAGGGCCAUUACCUAAUACGUGAUGGUUUUGACGUUACCGACAGAAUAAGCACCGGCUAACUCUGU